CAUUAUAGUUUUCUAUUUUUUCCUCUCUCAGGUCAUAAAAUAUAAUGUAAAACCAAGAUGGAUUGUAACAGAGGAUGAUCCAGAUAUGUAACUAAUUCCUGCAACUUAAGAUCUUUAGACUUCCUAGAAAUAAGUUUUCCACUUUAUUAUAUGAAAAAUUAAGGAAGUCCUGAAUGAGUCUCUGGGAAAGUGUGCAAGAGACAAAGGAAGAGAAGAUUAAUAGUGUUUUUCAAGAAUCUUAUGGCUCAGUUGGAAGAAGAAAAUAAGUGUGUGGAAAGCUACAUGAUUAACAAGAAGAGUAAAAGUAAAAGGAAAUGGUUGACCUCAGAAUAGGAAUUCAGAAAUCUCCCUGCCUGCUUCUUUGCCACUAAGAAAACCGACACUGGUUCCCCAAACCCCUGAUUAAGAAAGAAG
rnacentral:lncRNA from 1 species